CAUUUGCAUGGAUGGGCCCUCCCUCUCUCAGAGGAUGAAGAGGGGAAGGGAGAGAUGAGGGGAGGCUCUGCUCAGCUGUGGGGCACAGAAGUCAGGACCAGGGAUGACCUGCACCAUGUCCUGGUCCCCUCUCCUCCUCACCCUCCUCGCUCACUGCACAGGUUCCUGGGCCCAGUUUGGGCUGACUCAGCCGCCCUCUGUAUCUGGGUCCCUGGGCCAGAAGGUCACCAUCUCCUGCACUGGAAGCAGCUCCAACAUCGGUAGUAAUUAUGUGAACUGGUUCCAACAGCUCCCAGGAACCGCCCCCAGAACUGUCAUCUAUGGUAAUAACAACCGACCAUCGGGGAUCCCAGAUCGAUUUUCUGGCUCCAAGUCUGGCAACUCAGGCACCCUGACCAUCACUGGGCUCCAGGCUGAGGAUGAGGCAGAUUAUUACUGUGCAUCGUGGGAUGACAAUCUCAGUGCUCACACAGUGCUCCAGGCCUGAGGGGAAGUGAGACAA